UACGGAGGGUGCAAGCGUUAAUCGGAAUUACUGGGCGUAAAGGGUGAGUAGGUUGUUGAUUAAGUUAUCUGUGAAAUGACUGGGCUUAACCUGGUCCUGAGAGAUGAUACUGAUUGACUAGAGUAAGGGAGAGGGUAGUGGAAUUUCCGGUGUAGCGGUGAAAUGCGUAGAGAUCGGAAGGAACACCAGUGGCGAAGGCGGCUACCUGGCCUAUUACUGACACUGAGUCACGAAAGCGUGGGGAGCAAACAGG
rnacentral:rRNA from 1 species